UAACGUUCGAACAUAACCAUCGUUCAACUCACAAUGCUACAAGGAACGACAAAACAGAAAUGAAGGAAGAAUCCCAGGCAAUCUGGAUAACGAAAACUCCAUAACUAUGGACAGUCUUCACUCGUAAUCGUAAUAAGCGUAUUGCAGCUUGCCCCGGUCAGUAAUCGGAAUCAGUUGCCACCCAGGACACACCGCUCCGUGUCGAGCUCCUCAUCCGAGUCCAUGCGCUGGCA